rnacentral:rRNA from 1 species
UACAGAGGGUGCGAGCGUUGUCCGGAAUUACUGGGCGUAAAGGGCGCGUAGGCGGCCUGAUAAGUCGGGGGUGAAAUUCAGCGGCUCAACCGCUGGACUGCCUUCGAUACUGGGAAUCUCGAGUCCGGGAGAGGUGAGUGGAACUCCGAGUGUAGAGGUGAAAUUCGUAGAUAUUCGGGAGAACACCAGUGGCGAAGGCGGCUCACUGGACCGGCAUUGACGCUGAGGUGCGAAAGCGUGGGGAGCAAACAGG